AUUGAACGCUGGCGGCAUGCCUUACACAUGCAAGUCGAACGGUAACAGGUCUUCGGAUGCUGACGAGUGGCGAACGGGUGAGUAACACAUCGGAACGUGCCUAGUAGUGGGGGAUAACUACUCGAAAGAGUGGCUAAUACCGCAUGAGAUCUACGGAUGAAAGCAGGGGAUCGCAAGACCUUGUGCUACUAGAGCGGCCGAUGGCAGAUUAGGUAGUUGGUGGGAUAAAAGCUUACCAAGCCGACGAUCUGUAGCUGGUCUGAGAGGACGAUCAGCCACACUGGGACUGAGACACGGCCCAGACUCCUACGGGAGGCAGCAGUGGGGAAUCUUGGACAAUGGGCGCAAGCCUGGUCCAGCAAUGCCGCGUGCAGGAUGAAGGCCUUCGGGUUGUAAACUGCUUUUGUACGGAACGAAAAGCCCCGGGUUAAUACCCUGGGGUCAUGACGGUACCGUAAGAAUAAGCACCGGCUAACUACGUGCCAGCCGCCGCGGUAA
rnacentral:rRNA from 1 species